UGGGGAAUAUUGCGCAAUGGAGGAAACUCUGACGCAGCAACGCCGCGUGUGUGAAGAAGGCCCUCGGGUCGUAAAGCACUGUUGAGUAGGAAGAGACGGGGUUAGUUAAUACCUGACCCCCCGACGGUACUACUCGAGGAAGCACCGGCUAACUCCGUGCCAGCAGCCGCGGCAAUACGGAGGGUGCAAGCGUUGUUCGGAAUUAUUGGGCGUAAAGGGCAUGUAGGCGGGUCAUUAAGUCUGAUGUGAAAUCCCUCGGCUCAACCGAGGACGUGCAUUGGAAACUGAUGAUCUUGAGUCCUGGAGAGGAAGGCGGAAUUCCCAGUGUAGAGGUGAAAUUCGUAGAUAUUGGGAGGAACACCAGCGGCGAAGGCGGCCUUCUGGACAGUGACUGACGCUAAGGUGCGAAAGCGUGGGUAGCAAACAGG
rnacentral:rRNA from 1 species